rnacentral:rRNA from 1 species
GCCUAACAUCUAGCCCACACUACCCGCAUGAACCUUUUCUACACCCCCAUACACAACAAAACAUUUUAUCUCUUUAGUACAGGCGAUCGAAAAACUUAUAGGCGCUUCAGAUUAAGUACCGCAAGGGAAAGAUGAAAUAAAAAUGAAAUAAUUUAAAGCCCCAAAUA